rnacentral:sRNA from 1 species
CUAUGAAUUAGAUAUAUUUUGAUGACCAUUCUGUAUAUACCCGUUCAGCUAGUUAAAUUAAACAUAUUCUCUUUUAUCCCUCACCCUCUGCUCUUUGACUAUCGCAAACAUGUGUGUGUGUGUGUUGGUGACAGACAUAAAUUCACGCUUUCUAAACAUUCUUUAGAUUAAUUUCAGAUCUCUCAUCUACCCUUUCUUUGUCACAUUCUUGAAAACAUACAGAAUAGGCUUCAAUCUCUCAACUAUUUCACGCUGUCCAGAUACACACGCCUUGUCAUCUGCGGCCCAGCCACUUCUGCUCUUUUACCUCGCGCUUUUUAAGAUAGCUAACUCCCGUCAGGGCGGUUGAUUCUGGUGUGGCUCUCAUAGGGAGGGCCCUUGGAGGAGCUAACUGCGGGGAGAUAGAGGCAAAAGAUGAGCGCCAUGGAUAUCGACAAGCUCUCCAUGCUGCCUGACGAAACCUCAGAGCCAGAGGAAUCAGAUAAUGAGUUAGAGAAUUCUGACCAGGGUCUUAUAAAUGUAGAAGAUCUACGACAGAAGCAAAAUGCCAAAUUUAAGGCUUUGCUGUCAAGGGCAUCUGAAACCAUUACGGCGGAAGACAUCCAACGGGCAACGAAAGUUAAAACCGAGAGUGAGCUUUCUAUGACGAAUUUAAUAGAGAAUCAAGACUUCACAUCUGUUAUCCAUGACCCAAGAGAGUAUCAACUGGAGUUGUUUGAAAAAGCGAAAGCUGCCAAUAUCAUUGCUGUGCUGGAUACAGGAUCCGGAAAAACAUUUAUCGCUGUGCUUUUACUUAAACAUGUGAUUCAAAGCGAAUUAGCUGAUCGAGCAAGCGGAAAUCCACCUCGUAUAUCAUUCUUUCUGGUUGAUAGUGUUACCCUCGUAUACCAACAAGCCGCGGUCUUGAAAGCAAACAUUGAUCAGAAUAUCGACAAAUUCAGUGGAGCGAUGCAAACUGACCUAUGGAGCAAAGAGACUUGGGAAAAACACUUCUCGAAAAAUAUGAUUAUAGUCUGCACUGCCGAAGUCCUGUAUCAAUGUUUACUCCGCUCUUUCAUCCGAAUGGAACAUAUCAAUCUCCUUAUUUUCGAUGAAGCCCAUCAUGCCAAAAAAGAGCACCCGUAUGCUAGAAUUGUGAAAGAUUUCUAUUUGCGAAGACCCGAAACACAAAAAAGACCCAAGAUAUUCGGAAUGACGGCAUCGCCAGUUGACGCGAAGGUGGACGUGGCAAAAGCUGCAAAGAAUCUUGAGACGCUACUCGACAGUCAGAUUGCAACCGCGUCCAACCUGGAUGCUUUGCGGCAAGCGAUAGCGCGGCCAACUGAACAGAUAUGGGUGUAUGACAAACUUGAUGCAACAUUUGAAACUGACUUGUACAAGUGUAUGCAAUCACGCUUUGGUAAAAUUCGUGAACUUGAAAGGAUUUUCUUCUAUGCCUUGGAGGCAAGCUCGAUGCUCGGGAGAUGGUGUUCAGAUUGGCUAUGGACAUUCGCUUUGGAAGCAGCCGAAUUGCCCA